rnacentral:tRNA from 1 species
GUGGUUGUAGCUCAGUGGUAGAGUGCUUGUCUCACAUGCGUGAGGCACUGAGUUCAAUUCUCAGCACCGCA